GAAAUGCUACUCCUUCAAUUCGCCCGUCAUUACGGUGCAGGAACGUGAACGUGGCUUUUUGCUUCGCCACCGACUGCGCUGUUGGUUUGGACCAGAGAAAGGAAAGAGAAAGAGAAUUCGCGACUGAUGGACACAAAGAAGUACAGUAUAGACAAGGCUAAUGGUGACCAGCUGUUCACCAUUUCCACUGAGCAAACCAAGCCAAACUCUAAUGUGAAGACUUCAGGUUAGUAAUAGCAAAAGUUCACCUGUGGUGAGGUUAGAAAGGACAAAAAAAAAAAAAAAAAAAAAAAGUUCCCUAACAAAGGAA